rnacentral:tRNA from 1 species
UCCCUGGUGGUCCAUUGGCUAAGACUCUGUGCUCCCAAUGCAGGGGGUCCAGAUUCAAUUCCUGGUCAGGGAA